AACCAUAGAAACCUGCGGAGUACCUGCGGAAGGAUCAUUACAGAGUUGCAAAACUCCCUAAACCAUUGUGAACGUUACCUAAACCGUUGCCUCGGCGGGCGGCCCGGGUCCUUCCCGGCGCCCAUCGGCCCUCGCGGGCGCCCGCCGGAGGUAAACCAAACUAUUGCAUUGUAUGGCCUCUCUGAGUCUUCUGUACUGAAUAAGUCAAAACUUUCAACAACGGAUCUCAGAUCGGAAGAG
rnacentral:misc_RNA from 1 species